GACGCAGGAAGAUAACCACGCUGAGUGUUGGACGUCUCAGUCUAAGGCCGUAGGUGCAACAGAGAUGUUGUACUGAGAACCGACGGGGAGCUCAACGAAAGGCGAGCGAAGGUGGUGAGUCUAUGCUGCCAAGAAAAACCAUCAUGGAAGUAUCGUGGUCAAUCGUACCGGAAUCCGACACAGGUAGAUAAGCAGAAUAUGCUAAGAUGCUCGAGAGAAUCCUCCUUAAGGAACUAGGCAUAAUCACCCCGUAACUUCGGGAGAAGGGGUGCCUGAUUUGUGUAAGACUCCGCGUCUGAAGCAAUGAUGGCCACAGUAAAGAGGCCCGGGUGACUGUUUAGUAAAAACACAUCACUCUGCUAACUCGAAAGAGAACGUAUAGGGUGUGACACCUGCCCGGUGCUGGAAGGUUAAGGGGAGAGGUCAGCGCAAGCGAAGCUUCGAACCGAAGCCCCAGUAAACGGCGGCCGUAACUAUAACGGUCCUAAGGUAGCGAAAUUCCUUGUGGGGUAAGUUCCCACGCGCACGAAUGGUGUAACAACUUGGGCGCUGUCUCAAGGAGGAACUCGGCGAAAUUGUAGCGGCGGUGAAGAUGCCGUCUACCCGCACCAAGACGAAAAGACCCCAGAACCUUUACUGCAUUCUGGUAUUGGAUUUGGAUAUUGAUUGUGUAGGAUAGCUGGGAGCCUGUGAAGCUUCGGCGUUAGCCGAGGUGGAGGCAACGGUGAAAUACCAGCCUGUCGAUGUCUAGAUUCUAACUAUUUCCCGUGAAUCCGGGGAUGGAACAGUGCCAGAUGGGCAGUUUGACUGGGGCGGUUCCCUUCUAAAGAAUAACGAAGGGGUCCAAAGGUCUACUCAAGUCGGUCGGCAAUCGACUGUAGUGCAAACGCAUAAGUAGGCCUGACUGCGAGUCCGACAGGACGAGCAGGCACGAAAGUGGGGGUUAGUGAUCCGGUGGUUGAAUGUGGGAUUGCCAUCGCUCAACGAACAAUAGGUACUCUGGGGAUAACAGGCUGAUCGCGCUCGAGAGUUCAUAUCGACAGCGCGGAUUGGCACCUCGAUGUCGGCUCAUCCUAUCCUGGGGCUGUAUAAGGUCCCAAGGGUCCGGCUGUUCGCCGGUUAAAAGGGUACGUGAGCUGGGUUUAGAACGUCGUGAGACAGUUCGGUCUCUAUCUGGUGUGGGCGCAUGAUGAUUGAAGUGACGAUCUCCUUAGUACGAGAGGACCGGGAGAUACGAACCUCUGGUGUUCCAGUUGUCCUGCCAAGGGCAAUGGCUGGGUAGCCAAGUUCGGGAGGGAUAAGCGCUGAAUGCAUAUAAGUGCGAAGCCCAUCACAAGAUAAGUCAUCGAUUACCUUCGGGUAUGUAGGCACGUUGUAGACUACGACGUUGAUAGGGUGGAUGUGUAAGACGCGUAAGCGUUUAAGCUAACCACUACUAAUCUGCCAAACGCUUGAUCAA
rnacentral:rRNA from 1 species